CAAUUGUACCGCGAAACUGCGAAUGGCUCAUUAAAUCAGUUAUCGUCUAUUUGAUAGUACCUUACUACUUGGAUAACCGUGGUAAUUCUAGAGCUAAUACAUGCUGAAAACCCCCGACUUCGGAAGGGAUGUAUUUAUUAGAUUAAAAAACCAAUGCCCUCCGGGGCUCCCUGGUGAUUCAUAAUAACUGGUCGAAUCGCACGGCCUUGCGCCGGCGAUGGCUCAUUCAAAUUUCUGCCCUAUCAACUUUCGACGGCUGGGUCUUGGCCAGCCGUGGUGACAACGGGUAACGGAGGGUUAGGGCUCGACCCCGGAGAAGGAGCCUGAGAAACGGCUACUACAUCUAAGGAAGGCAGCAGGCGCGCAAAUUACCCAAUCCCGACGCGGGGAGGUAGUGACAAUAAAUACUGAUACAGGGCUCUUUAGGGUCUUGUAAUUGGAAUGAGUACAGUUUAAUUCCCUUAACGAGGAACAAUUGGAGGGCAAGUCUGGUGCCAGCAGCCGCGGUAAUUCCAGCUCCAAUAGCGUAUAUUAAAGUUGUUGCAGUUAAAAAGCUCGUAGUUGAACCUUGGGCCUGGCUGGCCGGUCCGCCUCACCGCGUGCACUGGUCCGGCCGGGCCUUUCCCUCUGGGGAGCCGCAUGCCCUUCACUGGGCGUGCCGGGGAACCAGGACGUUUACUUUGAAAAAAUUAGAGUGUUCAAAGCAGGCUUAUGCUCGGAUACAUUAGCAUGGAAUAAUGGAAUAGGACGUGCGGUUCUAUUUUGUUGGUUUCUAGGACCGCCGUAAUGAUUAAUAGGGACAGUCGGGGGCAUCAGUAUUCAAUUGUCAGAGGUGAAAUUCUUGGAUUUAUUGAAGACUAACUACUGCGAAAGCAUUUGCCAAGGAUGUUUUCAUUAAUCAGGAACGAAAGUUAGGGGAUCGAAGACGAUCAGAUACCGUCGUAGUCUUAACCAUAAACUAUGCCGACUAGGGAUCGGACGCUGUUGUCUUUUGACGCGUUCGGCACCUUGCACGAAAGUACA
rnacentral:rRNA from 1 species